CCUACGGGAGGCAGCAGUGGGGAAUAUUGGGCAAUGGGCGCAAGCCUGACCCAGCAACGCCGCGUGAAGGCAGAAGGCUUUCGGGUUGUAAACUUCUUUUGGCAGGGAAGAGUAGAAGACGGUACCUGACGAAUAAGCCACGGAUAACUACGUGCCAGCAGCCGCGGUAAGACGUAGGUGGCAAGCGUUGUCCGGAUUUACUGGGUGUAAAGGGCGUGUAGCCGGGUUGAAAAGUCAGUUGUGAAAUCCUGCGGCUUAACCACAGAACUGCAUUUGAAACUGUUGAUCUUGAGUACUGGAGAGGCAGAUGGAAUUCCUAGUGUAGCGGUGAAAUGCGUAGAUAUUAGGAGGAACACCAGUGGCGAAGGCGGUCUGCUGGACAGCAACUGACGGUGAGGCGCGAAAGCGUGGGGAGCAAACAGGAUUAGAUACCCUUGUAGUC
rnacentral:rRNA from 1 species